rnacentral:lncRNA from 1 species
UAUUACUACACAUAUUUACAAAGUGUCGCUUUCACUCAGGACACAAUACAUCGGCAGUGUUCAAAUCCAAGUGAAUCCACUUUCCAGGUACCUGUCGUCAACACUUAAUGGCAAACACUGGCGAGUUCACCUUCAACAUGGGCCAGUCCACGCACACCGCAUCGUCACGAUGUGCCCAUACUCCACCUUCGCUCUCCAGAUACACACUGGCAGAGGGUUUCAGCAACAUGCUGACAGGGGUCUCAAAUAAUCUGUUACAGGGGUAGCUAGCACCCUGGCAGAAGUCUUUAGCAGCUCACUAGCACCACUGUCGUCACAUAACUCUUCCUGGCCAAAUCCCGGGUACGUCGAUCCAUACAACACUGCAUAAGUCCAGCAACUAACGCUCUGCCUUAACUGACGGCGGCUACUUUGUCCUCUCACAGGAUUAAGUCAAGAUUUCAGGACUGCCCAAGGUGAACUGCCUUCCUCAACGUAAUCGCCUCCUUACGUCCCCUGUGUGAACAUAAAACGUCAUUAGUUAGAGAGACAGUAUACUGGGUGACCAUAGGAUAACACCCAUCCACCGGGGAACUGACAUUGUAAUUGUAGUUGCAACCUAGAUGGCGUUGAUGUCGAUACGCCACCCACCAGAGGUCAUCCCAUCGUAUCGAUGGGAUCACCUUCUAACUGAGGAAGGAAACCGGAGCCUUUCACCGAUGCCAUGCCCCCGCCAACAGAUGGCGUUGUUUGCAUCUAACCUAAUACCUGGAAGUUGGAGUACAGGUUCAUGGCGUCGAUAUCGCCACUCCACCCACUGAUGAUGAUAUUGUAACACUGAAGAAAAAAGCAGCUAUGUUCCAUUCCAAACAAGAUAUGCUCUGAGUCUUGCAGUAUUGGUGUGCUUUGUGUGGUCUUUCUCACCAAACAGAGAUGUCUCAAGUUGGUGGUUCUUCAGAAUCUUAAGUUUCCCGAGAGUGAAAUCGUGUAUGGAUUGCUAUGCCUAUGGUGCCGGUAGGGGUACAAAGAUGAGACCAUACACUGGGUACAAAGAUGAGACCAUACACUGGGUACAAAGAUGAGACCAUACACUGGGUACAAAGAUGAGACCAUACACUGGGUACAAAGAUGAGACCAUACACUGGGUACAAAGAUGAGACCAUACACUGGGUACAAAGAUGAGACCAUACACUGGGUACAAAGAUGAGACCAUACACUGGGUACAAAGAUGAGACCAUACACUGGGUACAAAGAUGAGACCAUACACUGGGUACAAGGGUAAUACCAUACACUGGGUACAUGGGUGAGGCCAGACAUUUUGGGUACAAUGGUGAGACCAUACACUGGGUACACGGGUGAUACCACAGACUGGGUACAUGAGUGAUAACACACUGGGUGCAAAAGUGAUACCACAAGCUGUGUUCUAGGAUGAUAUCACACUUGGGAACAAAGGUGAUACCACAAUCUUUGCAACAGUUACUUCCUUAUACAUUGUGGUUCUAUUUAUUUGUAUCUAAUAAAAUUUGCAUUUCCACAGGAUCAGCAGCUGAUAACCUCCAAAGCAAAAAAUGGCAUGAAUUUAAGAGAACUGCUUGAGGAGAAAGACUGGAAAGGAAUAAAACAGUUUUUGAAGAAAUGUCCAAGUCUGAGCCAUCAAUGUUUGAAGAACAUUGCUAAGCUUGCUCUCAAUGAUAAUCAAAUGGAUGUCUUGAACAUCUGUUCGUGGAGGUUGUCACAGAAUGAUAGCGUGGAUGAAUCUCACGAUCAAGAAUAGGAUACCAACACUCUAGAUUGCUCUUCAUAAUGCCGGGUGCGUUAUGGACGAACAUGAAGAAUCAUACAAAAAAUGAAUCAUGAGGCUAAAGCAGAACACACCUACAGAUAUAUACAGAUACUGGCUGCCAAAUUCUCCUCACCACGAGAAGAUGACUCUCGUUGAGAAGAUCAUUAAUUUAUUAAUUGCAUUAUCAUCAUCACCGUGAUAAGCAAGUACUCUAUGGUGAACGGUAAUUGAUGACUUGCCAGGCACAGCUUGGAGGAUCCUCGUGCUUUAACUGACGAAUGAUAUAGAGCUGAAAAUGAGUGAUGAAUAUGGUGAUGAGGCGGAGUCGGACUUGAACGACCGACUCCGCCUGAAGUCAAUUAACUCUUUGAAGAAGACCAAGUCCUUACCCCAACUCAGCAUCAGUGGGUACCAUGUUGAUAGUGAAUCGACUCAGCAAUAUACAGCCAAUAUGUUUACCCAGAAUAAGAUCAGACCAAAACUCUUCUCUGCAAUACACGAAAACACAACAUUGCGAGCACACAGUUAAAACACACAUACAGGUGAGCAUACACACCUCUACUAGUGUUGAGGUGCUACAGGAAAGAAUUGUGCAUUUAGGGCUCGUUUCCCAUAAGUUUGGUAAAGUUGCUUUAGAACAGAGAGAGUACAGAGGAAUUGAGAAUAUUAUUUUUCCAAAUAAUGGUGGUGUGUAAAAUGAGGUGAUUGUUCACGAUACAUUUUCAUCAUUGGUGAGUUUGAUGAAUGAUUAAUAAACAGAUAAGUGAAAGUUUAGAGAGGAAAUUAAAGCUUCACAGAUUUUCUCCAAGACACCUACCUUCUGUAUAUAUAAUAUAAAUAUUUUGCUAAAAAUAAAUCUUCGAGAGGAAAUACAAACAUUAAACUUGCUUGGUAAUACAAGUUCAGAUGUUUCACCAAAAGCACUACGCUGUUUACUUUGCAACUGUAGUACAAUAUAAUGCGAGGGGAAAAGUGCUAGAAGUGUGUGAAUAAUUUCAUUCCAAGACCUUCAUAGUUACUUUGUCAUCAUCAAUCAGGAAAAUAACCCACACUACGAACGUCACGUUCCCGUUUCUUUGGCCUCCCAAUAAGCACCUUAAUUGAAAAGGAAUUACGUACAUGGUAAAUGAUUCUCUCUGGAGUACCUGGGAAAUUAUUUUUUUUAUGAAAUCAAUGUGCAAGUUAUCUAUAAAACAUGGGUAAGGCCAUUACCCUAUUCAGUGUAGUUCUUAUUUUAUAUUUUAUUAAUAUAAUAAAUCCGCGAAAAGUUUGCUGUUGCCUUGAGAUGUAAGAAUAGAAUGAUGACAUCAUGUGUUAUGAAUAAUUAAAUCAAAACAUAAUGUAACAUUAAACUCUGACCUAGAAAUAUGCAUGAAAGCAAUGCUGUGUUGCACUACAGUGUUGUCAUGUCUCAACAUUAGUCAAGGAACAGCACACGUUGUAAUAUAAUACACUUUGUGGACUAUUAUGUUUAUAUUAUUUUCAUUGAAAUGUUUAAGAUAAUAUUGAUUGAAAUGUUUAAGAUAAUAUUGAUUGAAAUGUUUAAGAUAAUAUUGAUUGAAAUGUUUAAGAUAAUAUUGAUUGAAAUGUUUCAGAUAAUAUUGAUUGAAAUGUUUCAGAUAAUAUUGAUUGAAAUGUUUCAGAUAAUAUUGAUUGAAAUGCUUAAGAUAAUAUUGAUUGAAAUGCUUAAGAUAAUAUUGAUUGAAAUGCUUAAGAUAAUAUUGAUUGAAAUGCUUAAGAUAAUAUUGAUUGAAAUGCUUAAGAUAAUAUUGAUUGAAAUGUUUAAGAUAAUAUUAAUUUUAACUGUAAUAUAGAUGUAGUUUUAUUGAGAGCUCGAAUAUGAGAGAGUUUUGAGUAACUUUUUUCUCAAGCACUGUUGUUGACGUCAGAGGCUGAGGGUCUCUCCUCCCACGUGGAGGACAACGCGCUGAGCACAGAGCUGUGGAGAAGUUACACAGCAGAGAGCUGUGGAGAAGUUACACAGCAGAGAGCUGUGGAGAAGUUACACAGCAGAGAGCUGUAGAGAAGUUACACAGCAGAGAGCUGUAGAGAAGUUACACAGCAGAGAGCUGUAGAGAAGUUACACAGCAGAGAGCUGUAGAGAAGUUACACAGCAGAGAGCUGUAGAGAAGUUACACAGCAGAGAGCUGUAGAGAAGUUACACAGCAGAGAGCUGUAGAGAAGUUACACAGCAGAGAGCUGUAGAGAAGUUACACAGCAGAGAGCUGGUUAGAAUUUACACAGUACAGAGAGCUGUUUAGAAUUUACACAGUAUAGAGAGCUGUUUAGAAUUUACACAGUAUAGAGAGCUGUUUAGAAUUUACACAGUACAGAGAGCUGUUUAGAAUUUACACAGUAUAGAGAGCUUGUGGAGAAGUUACACAGCUGAGAGUUUGUGAUGAAUUUACACAGUAGAGAGAGCUGUGGACGAGAUAUAGAGUUGAGAACUUACAGAGAAGUUACUGAACACACAAUUUGUGGAAGAGGUUUAGAAUAGAGAGCUUCGGGAGGAGGAUUAGAGUAAAGUUUGAAUGACUUGCUGUAGUAGAGUUAUUGAUUAUUUGCUUUAUUUUCAUUCAAUUCCCAUACGCACAAUAAAUUUAAAGCCUGA